GAUGAACGCUGGCGGCGUGCCUAAUACAUGCAAGUCGAGCGAACGGACGAGAAGCUUGCUUCUCUGAUGUUAGCGGCGGACGGGUGAGUAACACGUGGAUAACCUACCUAUAAGACUGGGAUAACUUCGGGAAACCGGAGCUAAUACCGGAUGAUAUUUUGAACCGCAUGGUUCAAAAGUGAAAGACGGUCUUGCUGUCACUUAUAGAUGGAUCCGCGCUGCAUUAGCUAGUUGGUAAGGUAACGGCUUACCAAGGCAACGAUGCAUAGCCGACCUGAGAGGGUGGUCGGCCACACUGGAACUGAGACACGGUCCAGACUCCUACUGGAGGCAGCAGUAGGGAAUCUUCCGCAAUGGGCGAAAGCCUGACGGAGCAACGCCGCGUGAGUGAUGAAGGUCUUCGGAUCGUAAAACUCUGUUAUUAGGGAAGAACAUAUGUGUAAGUAACUGUGCACAUCUUGACGGUACCUAAUCAGAAAGCCACGGCUAACUACGUG
rnacentral:rRNA from 1 species